AUGAGGAGCAGUAGAGUCCGCGGAGGAGGCGGUGGUGGUGGUGGCGGAGAGGCCGCCGCCUUCCUCGCCGCGCUGCUGUGCGGCCUCCUGCUCUUGCUCGGCGCCGCCGACGCGCAGGGCAUCCGGCGCCCCUCGGCCUACAAAACACUACGAGGUGAUGCUCCCCUUGUUAUCGCCCAAGGCGGAUUUUCAGGGGUAUUUCCUGAUUCCAGCCAGGCCGCCUUUGCUUUCGCAUUGCUUGCCAGCGCACCUGAUACAAGCGUGUGGUGCGAUGUGCAACUCACAAAAGAUGGCGUUGGGAUUUGCCUUCGAGACAUAAAUAUGGCAAACUGCACCAAUGCUGCAACAGCCUACCCUGCGAAAAAGAAGAAGUAUGUCAUCGAUGGCGUGCCCAAAACUGGACACUUCUCUCUCGACUUCACCUAUUCUGAGGUCCAAAACACUUACUUAACACAGGGAUUUUAUUCUCGCACCGACAGGUUUGAUUCCAUAUAUAAUAUCUUUUCCGUGACAGACUUGCAGUCCUAUAUCAAGCCGCCUUCCGUUUGGCUGAAUGUUCAGCAUGACGCCUUCUAUUCGCAACAUGGUUUGAACAUGAGAAGAUACAUAGUUUCCAUCCUAAAGAGUGUCUCUGUGAAGUAUAUUUCAUCACCUGAGAUAGGUUUCCUCAAAAGCAUAUCUAAAAGAGUUCGCGGCAGAACAAAGCUUGUGUUUCGCUUUCCUGAUAACUUUCUGUCUGAUCCUUCUACAAACCAAACCUAUAGCUCACUGUCUAAGAACCUAACGUUUAUUAAGACAAUUGCUUCUGGUAUCAUGGUCCCCAAGAGCUACAUCUGGCCAGUGACGAAUGAUAACUAUCUGCUGCCUCCAACACCCUUUGUCCAAGAUGCCCACAGGGCAGGGUUAGAAAUAUAUGCAUCUGACUUCGCAAAUGAUAGGAUUAUUCCCUAUAACUACAGUUAUGAUCCCUUGCAAGAAUACCUAUCAUUUAUAAGUGAUGGUGGCUUCUCCGUGGAUGGUGUGUUAACAGACUACCCUAUUACUGCAUCCGAGGCUAUUGGCUGUUUUGCUAACUUGAAUGAAAGUAAGGCGGAUCAUGGGAAACCUUUAAUUAUUUCGCAUAAUGGUGCCAGUGGAGACUAUCCGGAUUGUACUGAUCUUGCCUACCAGAAUGCAAUUAAGGAUGGUGCGGACGUGAUUGACUGUGCCCUUCAAGUCACAAAAGAUGGAGUUCUUAUUUGCAUGAGUUCCAUCAACCUGCUCGAGACCACCAAUGUUCAGAGGACACCUUUCAGUACCCUUACAUCUGUCAUUCCUGAAAUUAAGAGUACAGCAGGGAUUUAUACAUUCAACCUUACUUGGAACAACAUUAGCGAUAGUUCUUUGAAACCCAAGAUAUCUAGCCCAUUGAGUAGCUACUAUCUUGUAAGAAACCCGAGAUACACAAACAAUGGGAAGUUUGUCAAGUUCUCAGAUUUUCUGGAAUAUGGAAAGGAUCAGGAUUUGUCUGGCAUCAUGAUCAUUAUCGAGAAUGCUGCAUUUAUAGCGAAAUCUUUAGGAGUUGAUGUUCUCGAGUCCUUAACCACUGCCUUAAAUGAUGCUGGCUAUAAUAAUCAAACGACCAAGGAAGUCAUGAUCCAGUCAACAGAUAGCGCUGUUCUUGUCAAAUUGAAGCAGCAGAAAGCAAAAUACAAGCUUGUUUACACUCUCCCGCAAGGCAUUGGGGAUGCUUCUCCUUCCUCACUAGCCGAUGUCAAGGAGUUUGCCGAGGCUGUGGUCGUUGACAGGAAUUCCUUUUUUGCAAUAAGCUUGCAAUUUAUCAUCAACCAAACCAGCCUGGUGAAAGACUUGCGGUCCGCAGGGCUAACGGUAUAUGCGCAGGUGUUCCGCAAUGAGUUCCUAUCACAACCUUGGGACUUCUUCUCGGAUGAAACAGUGGAAAUCAAUAGCUAUGCCCAGUCGCUUAAAGUCGAUGGCUUAAUUACCGACUUCCCCAAGACAGUGAGGAGAUACAAGAGGAAUUCUUGUACAGGAAAGGACAAGCCCGCCUACAUGGAGACCGUUGAUGUCGGCGGCCUCGUGCAGCUACUCCAGAGAAAUGCCGCUCCUGAGGCCCAGCCGCCAGCGGUGGCACCGAUGCCAGAAUUGAACGAAACAGAGGUGCAGCAGCCGCCAUUCCCCCCUGUCGCGCCUAAGAAUGCACCUCCUGGUGCCGCCGCACCUCCCGGUUCAUCGCCAUCUGAUGCUCACACGACGGCUGUAAGCACCUGCAUUCUGCUGGUAGCGGCCUGUGCAGCUCUGCUGCUUUGA
rnacentral:rRNA from 1 species